UUCAUCCUCUGGCAGCCCACAUAGUUUCUAUGCUGCACAUGGAGGAGGCCAAAGUGCUUUCUUCCAUACCCAGCAUAGAAAUGCAGUGGGCUACCAGAGGAUAGA